rnacentral:rRNA from 1 species
CAAGUCGAGGGGCAGCAUUAUCAGCUUGCUGAUAGAUGGCGACCGGCGCACGGGUGCGUAACGCGUAUGCAACCUGCCCCAUACAUUGGGAUAGCCCGGAGAAAUCCGGAUUAAUACCGAAUAACAUUAGGGUACCGCAUGGUAUCCUGAUUAAAACUUUGGUGGUAUGGGAUGGGCAUGCGUGGCAUUAGGUAGUUGGUGGGGCAACGGCCCACCAAGCCUACGAUGCCUAGGGGUUCUGAGAGGAAGGUCCCCCACACUGGUACUGAGACACGGACCAGACUCCUACGGGAGGCAGCAGUGAGGAAUAUUGGGCAAUGGGCGGAAGCCUGACCCAGCCAUGUCGCGUGCAGGAAGACGGUCCUAUGGAUUGUAAACUGCUUUUAUACGGGAAGAAACCCCUGCUCGUGAGCGGGCUGCCGGUACCGUAUGAAUAAGCAUCGGCUAACUCCGUGCCAGCAGCCGCGGUAAUACGGAGGAUGCGAGCGUUAUCCGGAUUCAUUGGGUUUAAAGGGUGCGUAGGCGGGACUGUAAGUCAGGGGUGAAAGUUUGCCGCUCAACGGUAAAAUAGCCUUUGAUACUGCAGUUCUUGAGUUGGCACGAGGUAUGCGGAAUGAGUAGUGUAGCGGUGAAAUGCAUAGAUAUUACUCAGAACACCGAUUGCGAAGGCAGCAUACUAGGGCCACACUGACGCUGAUGCACGAAAGCGUGGGUAGCGAACAGGAUUAGAUACCCUGGUAGUCCACGCCGUAAACGAUGGUCACUAGCUGUAUGCGAUAUACUGUAUGUGGCAAAGCGAAAGCAUUAAGUGACCCACCUGGGGAGUACGUUGGCAACGAUGAAACUCAAAGGAAUUGACGGGGGCCCGCACAAGCGGUGGAACAUGUGGUUUAAUUCGAUGAUACGCGAGGAACCUUACCCGGGCUUAAAUGCAGGCUGCAUGGGGCAGAGAUGCCCCUUUCUUCGGACUGCUUGCAAGGUGCUGCAUGGUUGUCGUCAGCUCGUGCCGUGAG